AAAAAAAAAUCUUUGCCGGGAGGGUCCUCAGCAAACAUUCGGCAAAGAAAAUUUGAAAAAAAAUUAGAAAAUCUUUGCCGGGUGUCUCUGACACAGCUUCCGGCAAAGCA
rnacentral:pre_miRNA from 1 species